rnacentral:rRNA from 1 species
CCUGCCGAUGACUCGGGGAUAGCCUUUCGAAAGAAAGAUUAAUACCCGAUGGCAUAGUUCUUCCGCAUGGUAGAACUAUUAAAGAAUUUCGGUCAUCGAUGGGGAUGCGUUCCAUUAGGUUGUUGGCGGGGUAACGGCCCACCAAGCCUUCGAUGGAUAGGGGUUCUGAGAGGAAGGUCCCCCACAUUGGAACUGAGACACGGUCCAAACUCCUACGGGAGGCAGCAGUGAGGAAUAUUGGUCAAUGGACGAGAGUCUGAACCAGCCAAGUAGCGUGAAGGAUGACUGCCCUAUGGGUUGUAAACUUCUUUUAUACGGGAAUAAAGUGAGGCACGUGUGCCUUUUUGUAUGUACCGUAUGAAUAAGGAUCGGCUAACUCCGUGCCAGCAGCCGCGGUAAUACGGAGGAUCCGAGCGUUAUCCGGAUUUAUUGGGUUUAAAGGGAGCGUAGGCGGACGCUUAAGUCAGUUGUGAAAGUUUGCGGCUCAACCGUAAAAUUGCAGUUGAUACUGGGUGUCUUGAGUACUGUAGAGGCAGGCGGAAUUCGUGGUGUAGCGGUGAAAUGCUUAGAUAUCACGAAGAACUCCGAUUGCGAAGGCGGCCUGCUGGACUGUAACUGACGCUGAUGCUCGAAAGUGUGGGUAUCAAACAGGAUUAGAUACCCUGGUAGUCCACACAGUAAACGAUGAAUACUCGCUGUUUGCGAUAUACAGUAAGCGGCCAAG